rnacentral:rRNA from 1 species
CCUACGGGAGGCUGCAGUGAGGAAUAUUGGUCAAUGGUCGGGAGCCUGAACCAGCCAAGUCGCGUGAGGGAAGACGGUCCUAUGGAUUGUAAACCUCUUUAGGCGGGGAGCAAUGCCGGGCACGCGUGCCCGGAGGGAGAUUACCCGCAGAAUAAGCAUCGGCUAACUCCGUGCCAGCAGCCGCGGUAAUACGGAGGAUGCGAGCGUUAUCCGGAUUGAUUGGGUUUAAAGGGUGCGGAGGCGGAUUUUUAAGUCAGCGGUAAAAUGUCCGGGCUCAACCCGGGCCGGCCGUUGAAACUGGCAGUCUUGAGUGGGCGAGAAGUAUGCGGAAUGCGUGGUGUAGCGGUGAAAUGCAUAGAUAUCACGCAGAACUCCGAUUGCGAAGGCAGCAUACCGGCGCCCGACUGACGCUGAGGCACGAAAGCGUGGGGAUCGAACAGGAUUAGAUACCCUUGUAAUC